GAUGAACGCUGGCGGCGUGCCUAAUACAUGCGAGUCGAGCGAACAGACGAGGAGCUUGCUCCUCUGACGUUAGCGGCGGACGGGUGAGUAACACGUGGAUAACCUACCUAUAAGACUGGGAUAACUUCGGGAAACCGGAGCUAAUACCGGAUAAUAUAUUGAACCGCAUGGUUCAAUAGUGAAAGACGGUUUUGCUGCCACUUAUAGAUGGAUCCGCGCCGCAUUAGCUAGUUGGUAAGGUAACGGCUUACCAAGGCAACGAUGCGUAGCCGACCUGAGAGGGUGAUCGGCCACACUGGAACUGAGACACGGUCCAGACUCCUACGGGAGGCAGCAGUAGGGAAUCUUCCGCAAUGGGCGAAAGCCUGACGGAGCAACGCCGCGUGAGUGAUGAAGGUCUUCGGAUCGUAAAACUCUGUUAUUAGGGAAGAACAAAUGUGUAAGUAACUAUGCACGUCUUGACGGUACCUAAUCAGAAAGCCACGGCUAACUACGUG
rnacentral:rRNA from 1 species